rnacentral:rRNA from 1 species
GACGAACGCUGGCGGCGUGCUUAACACAUGCAAGUCGAACGGAAAGGCCCUGCUUUUGUGGGGUGCUCGAGUGGCGAACGGGUGAGUAACACGUGAGUAACCUGCCCUUGACUUUGGGAUAACUUCAGGAAACUGGGGCUAAUACCGGAUAGGAGCUCCUGCUGCAUGGUGGGGGUUGGAAAGUUUCGGCGGUUGGGGUUGGACUCGCGGCUUAUCAGCUUGUUGGUGGGGUAGUGGCUUACCAAGGCUUUGACGGGUAGCCGGCCUGGGAGGGUGACCGGCCACAUUGGGACUGAGAUGCGGCCCAGACUCAUACGGGAGGCAGCAGUGGGGAAUAUUGCACAAUGGGCGGAAGCCUGAUGCAGCAACGCCGCGUGCGGGAUGACGGCCUUCGGGUUGUAAACCGCUUUCGCCUGUGACGAAGCGUGAGUGACGGUAAUGGGGAAAGAAGCACCGGCUAACUACGU